CCUACGGGUGGCAGCAGUGAGGAAUAUUGGUCAAUGGGCGCGAGCCUGAACCAGCCAAGUAGCGUGAAGGAUGACUGCCCUACGGGUUGUAAACUUCUUUUAUAAAGGAAUAAAGUGAGGCACGUGUGCCUUUUUGUAUGUACCUUAUGAAUAAGGAUCGGCUAACUCCGUGCCAGCAGCCGCGGUAAUACGGAGGAUCCGAGCGUUAUCCGGAUUUAUUGGGUUUAAAGGGUGCGUAGAUGGGUGGUUAAGUCAGUUGUGAAAGUUUGCGGCUCAACCGUAAAAUUGCAAUUGAUACUGGCAGUCUGGAGUACAGGUGAGGUAGGCGGAAUUCGUGGUGUAGCGGUGAAAGGCUUAGAUAUCGCGAAGAACUCCGAUUGCGAAGGCAGCUUACUAAACUGCAACUGACAUUGAUGCUCGAAAGUGUGGGUAUCGAACAGGAUUAGAUACCCGAGUAGUC
rnacentral:rRNA from 1 species